rnacentral:rRNA from 1 species
UAAUACGUAGGUGGCGAGCGUUGUCCGGAAUUACUGGGCGUAAAGGGCGCGUAGGCGGCUCUUUAAGUCAGAUGUGAAAACCCAGGGCUUAACUUUGGGAGUGCAUUUGAAACUGAAGGGCUCGAGUGCAGGAGAGGUAAGUGGAAUUCCUAGUGUAGCGGUGAAAUGCGUAGAUAUUAGGAGGAACACCAGUGGCGAAGGCGACUUACUGGACUGUAACUGACGCUGAGGCGCGAAAGCGUGGGGAGCAAACAGGAUUAGAUACCCUGGUAGUCCACGCUGUAAACGAUGGAUACUAGGUGUGGGAGGUAUCGACCCCUUCCGUGCCGCAGUUAACGCAAUAAGUAUCCCGCCUGGGGAGUACGGCCGCAAGGUUG